rnacentral:rRNA from 1 species
UACGUAGGUGGCAAGCGUUGUCCGGAAUUAUUGGGCGUAAAGCGCGCGCAGGUGGUUUCUUAAGUCUGAUGUGAAAGCCCACGGCUCAACCGUGGAGGGUCAUUGGAAACUGGGGAACUUGAGUGCAGGAGAGAAGAGUGGAAUUCCACGUGUAGCGGUGAAAUGCGUAGAGAUGUGGAGGAACACCAGUGGCGAAGGCGACUCUUUGGCCUGUAACUGACACUGAGGCGCGAAAGCGUGGGGAUCAAACAGG